rnacentral:rRNA from 1 species
AGCGAACGCUGGCGGCAGGCCUAACACAUGCAAGUCGAGCGCCGUAGCAAUACGGAGCGGCAGACGGGUGAGUAACGCGUGGGAACGUGCCCUUUAGUUCGGAAUAACCCAGGGAAACUUGGGCUAAUACCGGAUACGCCCUUCGGGGGAAAGAUGUAUCGCUAAAGGAUCGGCCCGCGUAAGGUUAGCUAGUUGGUGAGGUAACGGCUCACCAAGGCUAUGAUCUUUAGCUGUUCUGAGAGGAAGAUCAGCCACACUGGGACUGAGACACGGCCCAGACUCCUACGGGAGGCAGCAGUGGGGAAUAUUGGACAAUGGGCGCAAGCCUGAUCCAGCCAUGCCGCGUGAGUGAUGAAGGCCUUAGGGUUGUAAAGCUCUUUUACCAGGGAAGAUAAUGACGGUACCUGGAGAAUAAGCCCUGGCUAACUUCGUGCCAGCCGCCGCGGUAAUAC